GGGGAAUAUUGGACAAUGGGGGCAACCCUGAUCCAGCCAUGCCGCGUGUGUGAAGAAGGCCUUCGGGUUGUAAAGCACUUUAGGUCGGGAGGAAGGUUCGCUGGCUAAUAUCCAGCGGAAUUGACGUUACCGACAGAAUAAGCACCGGCUAACUUCGUGCCAGCAGCCGCGGUAAUACGAGGGGUGCAAGCGUUAAUCGGAAUUACUGGGCGUAAAGCGCGCGUAGGCGGCUUGAUAAGUCGGAUGUGAAAGCCCUGGGCUCAACCUGGGAACUGCAUUCGAUACUGUCGAGCUAGAGUGUGGGAGAGGGUGGUGGAAUUCCCGGUGUAGCGGUGAAAUGCGUAGAUAUCGGGAGGAACAUCAGUGGCGAAGGCGACCGCCUGGCCCAACACUGACGCUGAGGUGCGAAAGCGUGGGUAGCAAAC
rnacentral:rRNA from 1 species